CCUGCUUAUUCAGACAACAAAUUUUUCGGAGGCUUAUCAGAUAAGCUUGCUUGCCAGGUAGGUAAGCGAGUUCGAGAAAAACGUAUACAAACAAACAUGGACUUCUCCGCUCGACCGCCCCCUCCUCUCUGAGUCUAGUCUGAAUCUCUCUCUAAAUCUCUCUCUAGCUUAACCGGAUGCCGCCGCUCUCACCCAAAUCGAUGCCGCCCAAAUCUCUCUCCACCCAAACGAAGCACAAGCCAAACGAGAUCAGGCUUCACUUCAGAAAUUUCUUAGCGCCAUCACCCUAGAUCGGGAAAACGGCCUCGAAGGAGCUAGCUAUGGCGGCGGCUGCCUGGGGCGAGCUGCAGGCAAACACGAGCAGCCUGCGGGCGAGCUGCGGAGUGCGGGCGAACUCGAGGAGGUUGUAGGCGCGGCCGGCGAUGACCCCAAGCUGCGAGCUGAUGCAAGGUGCAAGAUGCAGGUUCGUAGGUGGCGGAGCAACGAGGUACGCAGGUUAGUCGGGAAACAUUACGGGAUAAAACGGGAUUUUCCCGAUCAAAUACGGGAACCGAGAAUCCGGUCGGGAAAACGCUCCAACCAAUUCCGGUCCCGAUUUUCGCCGGGUUUUCCCGGAUUUUUUUUCCGAUUCCGAUUUUUCCCGUAAAUCCAGUAUUCGAUCGGUAUACGCGGUAUACGGUGCCGGUCGGUACGGGAUCUUCCCGUUCCUACUUUCAUAAGUCUCAGGUGAAGGCUCGGCCACACGGCGCCGUGCCGACCGUUGCAGGCGUUUGGGCCUGCGGUACACAGUGGUGAGGUCGAUGACGCGCGAUGCCCAGACCCCAGUGUUGUGUCGUGUCGUGUCCUCUGCAUGGCCGGGGCACCGGAUCCCAGGUGCCGGCACGAGAGUACUCCGGCGAGGCGAUCCCAGGAGUAGAGCACAAGGCUGCCGCCGAAUCUGUUCGGAGCCGCACGGGCAGAGGGCAGGGGAGGAAAUGCUCCGAAACCGACGGGGUACGGAAGCGGCCACCGAAUUGGUGGAUGAUGAUGCCAGCCUCUGGACUUUGGAGGCUCUGUCUCUCCCGGCUGCUUUUCUAGAGGAGAACUACUACUGUCAUCCUGUCGCCACGGAGGCGCUUGUCAAAGCGCCGCGCCGUGUGACGAGACGAGCUGACUGCCGCACCAAUCCGCUGCCGGGCCGUUUCCGAUCGGGGAGGCUGUCUCUGGUGGAGGAGGAAGUGGUUGCUCCAUUUGCUAGCUCUUCUAGUCUUGUAGAGCUGGGCCUUUUCCCAAGUGGAAAGAGGUUUUAAAAAAAAGAGUAAAAUACAUGGAUCGUCAUUAUACUUGUCGGUGUAUUUCAAUUUGGUCAUCUUACUAAGAAAAAGUGUAAAUCACAGUCAUUAAGAUUGUUCGACUCUGUCGAUACGGUCAUUGGCUCUCUAGCAAUACGUAUUCUGAUGAUGUGCCGCCGAACGUUAUUCUGAUGAUGUGCCGCCGAACGUGACAAACCGAGGCAUGUACAUUUAUAAAUUGCUCCCUCUAAUUUGAUUUAUUUAUAGGUUGUGGUUUGUUCUUCUCCUCCUCCGGGACUACAUAAGCACGUUCACGUGCCCGCUGCCGGAACACAUCGUGGCGUCGAUGACGGCUCUGUUCAACCUAGAAGAUGAAGGGGAGGAGCUGAUACACGAGGCACUACUGCAGGACGCGAUCGCCGACCUCCAGCAAGAGACAACGCCAUCAACAGAAUGAUGCAGAUGGUAACAAUAUUAGGGAGUACUUUCGACUCCAUGUAUCCACGCCCUGCUGGCUGCAACCUUCGAGCAAGACUACCUAUCGGCCCUGCUAGCUCAGACUUUCGGGCUUCCUGUACGCGAUAUAGAUCCUGCCCUGCUGGCUCUGACCUUCGGGCAUACUGCGCACUACUUCG
rnacentral:lncRNA from 1 species